rnacentral:rRNA from 1 species
CCUACGGGAGGCAGCAGUGGGGAAUAUUGGGCAAUGGUGGAAACUCUGACCCAGCAACGCCGCGUGAAUGAUGAAGGUCUUCGGAUUGUAACGUUCUUUUCUAAGGGAAGAAGAAAGUGACGGUACCUUAGGAAUAAGCCUCGGCUAACUACGUGCCAGCAGCCGCGGUAAUACGUAGGAGGCGAGCGUUAUCCGGAAUGACUGGGCGUAAAGGGUGCGUAGGUGGUGUGGCAAGUUAGUAGCGAAACUCCAGGGCUCAACCUUGGAACUACUACUAAAACUGUUGGACUUGAGUGCAGGAGGGGCAACCGGAAUUCGUAGUGUAGCGGUGGAAUGCGUAGAUAUUAGGAGGAACACCGGUGGCGAAGGCGGGUUGCUAGACUGUAACUGACGCUGAGGCACGAAAGCGUGGGGAGCAAACAGGAUUAGAUACCCGAGUAGUC